GUAUAUUCAACUUUAUAGGUACAAAUGACCCAAUUCAACAUUCUAGAUUCAUUUUAGAGGUUGUGAAAAACAUAAAUCUGGAAACACAAGGCAGAGCUAGGCCAAAAAUGGCUAGCAGUCCUCAAUCUACAUAAAUGUAAUCAAUAGCUCCAGGUCUACAGUGUGUGCACAGUUGGAGAAGUAAAGAUGGCAGACGUGCACAAUACCCACAAGGGGCCAGCAACAGCCUGCUCAAGUUUAUUCAAUAUUGAUCCUUCCGCAGGUUCACCUACGGAAA
rnacentral:misc_RNA from 1 species